AGCAAAUUGCACAAGUAGAGCAGUAGCAAAUAAAUCCAUUGAACAUAAGAUAACAAAAACCAUAUUAUUUGAACUUCAUACUUAUUAACCUAAGUAGAUACAGUAAGUAAAAAUUUUAGCAAGCCAGAGGCUGGUAUGAACUUCUAUCAAUUUUCUAGGUGAGGAUUAAUUUAAAAAAUAUAUAAAGUCUAUUGGUCAUUGCUUUAACUUAAGCUAAAUCUUGCUUAAAACAUCUGCUAGAGAAUUAACAGGACCAUCCUUUCUGGAGCUGCUCAAGAUCGGCUGAAGGAAGCAAAGCUACAUUUCUUGUUUUCUGGUUCCUAUGAACAGAAGCAGAAUUUUUUCACAACAGAAAGUGAAGCAACGAAGUUUUGAGGGUUGCUCCUCAUUUAAUGGAUUUGUGCCUAUAAUUAAUUCAGCAACUUUAACGGCAAAAUGUUUGCCUUAUAAUGAGAUCCCCAGUGACAC